GUUGAAGAUGACUCACUACCACCAUGUCCAACCUCCAAUUUGAAGGAAAAUGGAAAGGGGAAAGUUGAACCAACAGUACCUUUAUGAAGGCAUGGCCUGAAAAUGGAAGAUUAUCACUUCUCUUUGCAUCACACUGGCAGAUCAGUGUGGAAAUGGAUGUGGACGCGGUGCUGCUGCCUGAGAUUAGCAGGAAGCAAUUCUUUUCCCAUUUGGAGAGACCCCGAUAUUACCUAUAUUGCCUUGAUCUGCUGUCUGAAGGCUUUGUUGGGCCAGGAGAUGGUUUUGCAGCAGCAGAAGACUAUGAACUGGGCUUUGGGAGAUAGGAUCUCUGGUUGUAUUCUGGCUAUCCACACUCUGAAAGAGGACCGUGACAGAGAAUUUGAGUAUCCUACCAAUAUACCUACAAAAGGAUGAAAGAAGAUUUGGAGUCAAGGGAAAACAAGGGCAAUAAAAUAGAAGCUUACCACCUGCUCUCAUACAGUUGCUAGAAGAGGACUGCAUAUUUGGUUCUAAGUUUCUGGAAGAUAAAGCCAAAAUAGAAACACAACUCAUUAUAAAAUUUUGGUGUAUCCAUAAAAUAAAAACAAAUGACCUGUUUGAGAAAACUCUUUCUGAGUUUGAGCUCUAAAAGGAACUUCUCUAUGGAAUCCUUAGAAUAUGAGAAGGCUGUGAUAUAGGGGAGAAACCCCUUGACAUUCCUAUAUUGGGUUUAGGUCUAAUUUCACUCAGUAGUUUUUAAAUGUUACUCCUUGUAGACAGAUGAUGAGACGCCAAAGUACAGCUGAGUGAAAGCGGUUCCUUUGAAAACUAA
rnacentral:lncRNA from 10 species